rnacentral:rRNA from 1 species
GCUUAUGGCCAUACCAGCCUGGCUAUGCCCGAUCUUGUCUGAUCUCGGAAGCUAAGCAGGUUUGGGCCUGGUUAGUGCCUGGAUGGGAGACCGCCUGGAAUGCCAGGUACUCUAAGCU